GUUUAUUAGUCCCCUACCGGUUUACCGGAGGGGACUUUAGGUUUACCCUCCGUCCGUCUGUCUGUCCGUCCGUCAGUCCACAAAACUGGAUCCCGCGAUAACGCAAAAAGUACUGAAAAUAUUUUAAUGAAACUUGAUAUAUGGAUAGAUGGCAGUAUGGAGAUUAUGCACGUCUUUUUCUUUUCUUCCUAUGUUGAAAAUUCUGGUUGCUAUGGCAACAAAUAGACUGAAAAUAUGGCAAAUUUUACACAUAACCUGGAUCCCGCGAUAACGCAAGAAGUACUGAAAAUAUUUUUACGAAACUUGAUAUAUGGAUAGAUGGCAGUAUGGAGAUUAUGCACGUCUUUUUCUUUUCUUCCUAUGUUGAAAAUUCUGGUUGCUAUGGCAACAAAUAGACUGAAAAUAUGGCAAAUUUUACACAUAACCUGGAUCCAGUGAUAACACAAAAAGUACUGAAAAUAUGUUUAUGAAACUUGACAUAUGGGUAGAUGGCAGUAUGGAAAUUAUGCACAUCCUUUUUUAUCUUCCUAUGUUGAAAAUUCUGGUUGCUAUGGCAACAAAUAGACUGAAUUUCAAGAUUUCUGAUUCUAGCUUUUAAGUUUUUUCACUAUAAGUUCUUUAUUUCUUAAGGUAUUUUCUUCAAACUUUAAGUUGCUUGUCAUCAACCACAUCAUAUGUGACAAGGUUUACAACUCUAGCACAAAAUUUAUCAGAAUUACCUCCCUUGAACUUAAAAUUUUCAUGAAAAAAACAUUGUUUUUUUUUUAAUAACCUCUUUUUCUGAAUGUAUCUACUUCAAACUUCAUAUAAAUGUUUCUUAUUGUCACUCAACAUUUGUGAGUGUUCAAUACUCUAGCAAGACUAUUUCCAGAAUUAUGCCCCUUUUGAACUUAGACUUUUUAUGCCCCCAUUUCGAAGAAAAGGGGGUAUAUUGCUUUGCACUUGUCGGUCCGUCGGUCCGUCGACCAAAUGGUUUCCGAGUGAUAACUAAAGAACCCUUAGGCCUAGGAACUUCAAACUUGGUAUGGUGAUUGGUCAUGACCAGUAGAUGACCCCUAUUGAUUUUGGGGUCAAGGGGUCAAAGGUCAAGGUCACAUUGACCUUGUAAGCAAAAACGGUUUCCGAUCAAUAACUAAAGAACCUUAAGGCCUAGGAACUUCAAACUUGGUAUGGUGAUUGGUCAUGAUCAGUAGAUGACCCCUAUUGAUUUUGGGGUCAAAGGUCAAGGUAACAUUGACCUUGUAAGCAAAAACGAUUUCCGAUCAAUAACUAAAGAACCUUAAGGCCUAGGAACUUCAAACUUGGUAUGGUGAUUUGUCAUGAUCAGUAGAUGACCCCUAUUGAUUUUAGGGUCAAGGGGUCAAAGGUCAAGGUCACAUUGACCUUGUAAGCAAAAACGGUUUCUGAUCAAUAACUAAAGAACUUUAAGGCCUAGGAACUUCAAACUUGGUAUGGUGAUUGGUCAUGAUCAGUAGAUGACCCCUAUUGAUUUUGGGGUCAAGGGGUCAAAGGUCAAGGUCACAUUGACCUCUUGGGUAAAAAUGGUUUCUGACCAAUAACAAAAGAACCCUUAGGCCUAGGAACUUCAAACUUGGUAUGGUGAUUGGUUAUGACCAGCAGAUGACCCCUUUUGAUUUUGGGGUUAAGGGGAAAAGGUCAAGGUCACAUUGACCUUGUAGGUAAAAACGGUUUCCGAUCAAUAACGAAAGAACCCUUAGGCCUAGGAACUUCAAACUUGAUAUGGUGAUUGGUCAUGAUCAGUAGAUGACCCCUAUUGAUUUUGGGGUCAAGGGGUCAAAGGUCAAGGUCACAUUGACCUCUUAGGUUAAAAACGGUUUCCGAUCAAUAACUAAAGAACCCUUAGGCCAAGGGACUUCAAACUUGGUAUGGUGAUUGGUCAUGACCAGCAGAUGACCCCUAUUGAUAUUGGGGUUAAGGGGUCAAUGGGCAAGGUCACAUUGACCUUGUAGGUAAAAAUGCUUUAAGAUCAAUAACUUAAGAACCCUUAGGCUUAGGAACUUCAAACUUGGUAUGGUGAUUGGUCAUGACCAGCAGAUGACCUAUUGAUUUUGGGGUCAAGGGGUCAAAGGUCAAGGUCACAUUGACCUUGUAGGUAAAAAUGGUUUCCGAUCAA